GAGACCCACGCCAACAGUUGCCAGCACGUUCUCCGGAAUGGUGGGGACACUGUUGGGACCGCCUCUGCUAAAGAGGAGGAAGGAAUGGGCAACGGUAGGUCAGCAUGCCCCGAAUUACCCGGGCUACACGCGGGCUACAAUGGACAGGACAAUGGGAAUCGACACCGAGAGGUGAAGGCAAUCCCCUAAACCUGCCCUUAGUUCGGAUUGUGGGCUACAACUCGCCCACAUGAAGCUGGAAUCCGUAGUAAUCGCGGAUCAACAUUCCGCGGUGAAUAU
rnacentral:rRNA from 1 species